rnacentral:rRNA from 1 species
UACAGAGGGUGCAAGCGUUGUUCGGAAUUAUUGGGCGUAAAGGGCGCGUAGGCGGUGCGGUAAGUCCGCAGUGAAAUCUCUGGGCUCAACUCAGAGUCUGCUGUGGAAACUGCCGUGCUUGAGUGUGGGAGAGGUGAGUGGAAUUCCCGGUGUAGCGGUGAAAUGCGUAGAUAUCUGGAAGAACACCAGUGGCGAAGGCGGUCAACUGGCCCGUAACUGACGCUGAGGCACGAAAGCGUGGGGAGCGAACAGG